rnacentral:lncRNA from 1 species
CCACACACACCCUUCGGAAACCAAACCAAAGUCCACCCAGCCCACGCGUUCCGAUGACCUCUACACAACAACCCAAACCACCGCACCACACCGCCACCAACGCCACUACAAACAAUCCAUAUCGGUAGCCUACCCACCCACCAAUCAAAUGAAAUCCUAAAACCACCUACAACCGCCACUGCAAAGCUCCACCAUUUUUUGGGACCUUGAUUUCAGCCCCAAUUUCAUGGCACCAAUGAUUCUUGUACCUUCCAAAUCCCCACCCGUCCUUAAAGCCAUCCAUUUCCAUUUUCGUCCUUAAAGCUGUCCAUUCUUGAAUUCUAACUGCAACAAACAUUUCAUUGAACACUUAUCUCUUUAACAUCCCAUCCUUCAACAGCAUCCACCCGGAGCUUAGGAUGUCGAUUUUACAAGUAUAGGUGGAAAUAUUCCGACUAGCCUUGUAGUUUAUGCCCGAGUUUUACCCGAAAUGAGAAGAAUAAAUGGUGGAGUUGUGCGUUGGGUGGAUUCUGUUGUCG